GGGCCCGCCGCCCCGACUGACAGCCUCCUAGGCCAAUCGUCAGCGCGGACGGUCGCUCAUGGGGCGGAACUUCCGACCUGGCGGGGGUCUGCCGGGCUGUGGUCGGAGGGACGGAGUCUUCAGCCAAUACAGGGCAUGCUGGGGAGAAAGAAUAACGGAGAAAGAACCCAUGAUUAAGUGUCCAUCAAUGGAUGAAUAGACAAAUUGUGGCAUAUCCAUACAAUGGAAUAUUAUUCAGCCUUUAAAAGAAAAUUCUGACAUUUGCUACAACAUGAUGGACCUGGACACAUGGUGCUCAGUGACAUAAGCCAGACACAGAAGGGCUGACCCUGUCUGAUCCCACCCCUGGGAGGUCCCUAGAGGAGCCCCAUUCACAGAGACAGAAAAAAAAUGCCAGCCAGUACUGUUGAAAGCAUGAUAGAAAAAAAUCACUACUGUGAAUGCCCCAAGAAAGAACCAUUGCAGACAAGAGUCAUCAGUGGAUGCUAAAACCAUUAGCUGAAAGGAUCAUCUCACAUCCACCAAAGAUCAUCCCUGAGAUUGCCUGCUAGAUACAAAGAGGAGAAAAUAACCUUACAGUGGAAGCAUCACACCAUUGCCAUCUUGGUCCAGGGAUGACUCUUAGCAGCCUUCCAGUGGAACAUACGGAAUGACGAGUUUCUACCACGCUGUGCUGGGAAGCAUGCAGCACCAAAAAGAAAGCGUUCUUGCCUCCAAAAUUUAACUUGGAUCGAGUCACACUUUCGGUCCUAACUUUCAAGUUACAGGAGAAGCACAUGGAUAGAGGAACAUGAGAGAGGACACCAGGAGAAGCGAUUCAAUAAGCCCAGAAGGAGGAACUCUCGACACUCUGGCUUCCUCCAGUCAAGAGGAUGGAGGAAAAGAAAUAGGGACUGCCGGGGGUUACCAGAGAUGACAUCACAGCCAAAUGCAAUGUGGGGCCCUGCACCGGAUCUUGGGGCCUUGACCAAAGCAGCUGUGUCAGCUGGGGAACUCUGAACCUGAAUAAUAACAGGUGAGGAAACUGAAGCUCAGAGGAGGUAAGUGAGUUGCCCAGAGUUGUAUGGCGAGGAUAUGGCAGAGCUGGGGGCCUCCUCAAUGAGACCAACCCUGACCAUCCCACUUACAUGCACAUUUAUCCAUGAGGCCCCUUGUCUGUCUCCCCUCCUGGCCAAGAUGGAAGUUCCAGGGGGACAGGCAUCUUGGUGGUGUUCACUUAUGUAUAUCCCGAGCACACUGCCUGGCACAGGGUAAAUGCUCAAUAAAUAUUUGUUGCAUGAGAUGAAAAACUACUGAAUCACAUAGUGAGUGGGCUAGUUCCUUUUCAAUUCAUUUCUGAUCUAAUGUCUGCAACAAGAAAGUCUUGGCAUCUGUGCAUCUUAAGCCCCUCUCUGGCACUCCCCAAGCUCCGUCAAGGACAAGGGAACAGAUUCAGAGGUCAGAGUCUGGGACAGGUAACUGCCUCUGCUGCAACGCUUCUCAACGCCACCUGGACAUUGAAAAUCUCCUGCAGAGCUUUAAAAAAUAC